AAGAAAAGACUCUUUCUUCACUCUCUGUAAGUCAGGGCUAGAAGAAACACACUGAAGCCAGAGAUCUCCAGAGAUUAUCUCCUGGUAUACCCUGAAAGACACUUUGAACUGGCAAAUUACUACAACACUAUAACUCUCAUGCUAUAGAUGGGAGGAACAGAGACAGACAGGAAGGUGGAAUGACUUUCCCCAAGAUAACACAUCAUUUAGACCCCCUUGACUUCUAGUUUGUGGCCCUAACCACGGGAUUAUGGCUGCCUCAUUAUUAUUUCUGCAUGUAAGCAGGCAUGAUGUCAUUCGCUCACUGUCCUGAAAAUGUGUGUAAUAUCAAGAAAGGAAACAGGGAAAGAAUCUGAUUUGAAACACCAUCGUUGAAUCAUUGAUUUGUAUCUGCAAAUGUAGAGUCAAGACCUGUAAGAUAACCAGUGCUUUCUGACAGAUCAGCAGAAUGGAGGCUGCUCAGCAUCUUCUGUAAUUUUCUCAGUACUAUGUAUGAUUGGUUUUUACAUCCUCAUUAACAUAAAGGAAUUAUUCUAAUUUGCAAUUCUGUACUGCACAAUUAUGACAUAACUGCUAGAGAUUAAUAGGUAGCUGGCCCAUAUAACACACUGUCAUGCAGCAGAUAUUUUGGAAGAGUGAGCAAAUAAGGAUUCACACCAGAUAACAGCACAUGUUAGCACUCAUGUCUGGCUAGGGCAACUGCUAUCCAGCAGCAGCAGCAAUACUGUACAUUCAGACCCUGAGAAGUGAUGAGUCUUUAAUUGUAUUCUUCUUCUUGAAUGCUUAGCUAGACAGUUGACCAUAGCGAUCGUUCACCAUUUGUUGCUGCACAACCGCAAAAGUUUGAUGGUCUGAGAGUCCAACAUCAGAAUGGACUUGAUGUACCCAUGCAAUAGAGGGUCUGCCGCUGGACCACCUCCACCUCUUGAUUGGUCGAGUUUUAUUCCAGAUGUUACAAGCCACCCAGGGAACAAAGCUUGCUGAAACGUCUUGUGACACCCUUCUGACAUGUCCGAAAAGCAUAAGGUGCUACUUGCAGACAAUGGUCCCAGUAGUCUGCAGACCUGAAUGACCAUAAAUAUCUGCAUUACAGAUUAACUCAUUUCACUUUAUGGGAAGCCUCCAGCUUCGUUCAGUUUGCAUGGGGUAGUGUCCAUGUUUUGCAGCCAUACAUCAGUAGGGGAAGGACUCUGUUCACAUAAAUCCUGAACUUGGUUGUUGUACUAAGCUGAUGAUGAUUCCAUAUCUGUUAUAAAUGGCCCAUGUAUUAUUACUUUAUUGUUGUAUUAAUCUUUAUUAAAUAAAAGUGACUGUACU